rnacentral:rRNA from 1 species
UACGUAGGCAGCGAGCGUUGUUCGGAGUUACUGGGCGUAAAGAGUGCGUAGGCGGUUUUCUAAGUUUGGUGUGAAAUCUCCCGGCUUAACUGGGAGGGUGCGCCAAAACUGGAAGGCUUGAGUAUGGGAGAGGUAAGCGGAAUUCCUGGUGUAGCGGUGAAAUGCGUAGAUAUCAGGAGGAACACCUGCGGUGUAGACGGCUUACUGGACCAUAACUGACGCUGAGGCACGAAAGCGUGGGUAGCAAACAGG